AACGAACGCUGGCGGCAUGCCUAACACAUGCAAGUCGAACGAUACCUUCGGGUCUAGUGGCGCACGGGUGCGUAACGCGUGGGAACCUGCCCUUAGGUUCGGAAUAACUCCCCGAAAGGGGUGCUAAUACCGUAUAAUGUCUUCGGACCAAAGAUUUAUCGCCUUUGGAUGGGCCCGCGUUGGAUUAGCUAGUUGGUAGGGUAAAAGCCUACCAAGGCGACGAUCCAUAGCUGGUCUGAGAGGAUGAUCAGCCACACUGGGACUGAGACACGGCCCAGACUACUACGGGAGGAAGCAGUGGGGAAUAUUGGACAAUGGGCGAAAGCCUGAUCCAGCCAUGCCGCGUGAGUGAUGAAGGCCUUAGGGUUGUAAAGCUCUUUUACCCGGGAUGAUAAUGACAGUACCGGGAGAAUAAGCUCCGGCUAACUACGUG
rnacentral:rRNA from 1 species